rnacentral:rRNA from 1 species
AUUGAACGCUGGCGGCAUGCCUAACACAUGCAAGUCGAACGAGUGGCGGACGGGUGAGUAAUGUCUGGGAAACUGCCCGAUGGAGGGGGAUAACUACUGGAAAAGGUAGCUAAUACCGCAUACCAUCGGAGGUGCCCAGAUGGGAUUAGCUAGUGGGUGUGGUAAAGGCUCACCUAGGCCACGAUCCCUAGCUGGUCUGAGAGGAUGACCAGCCACACUUGAACGUAGACACGGCCCAGACUCCUACGGUAGGCAGCAGUGGGUAAUAUUGCACAAUGGGCGAAACCCUGAUGCAGCCAUCCCGCGUGUAUGAUGAAGGCCGUCGGGUUGUAAAGUACUUUCAGCGGGGAGGCGUUACUUGCAGAAGAAGCACCGGCUAACUACGUGCCAGCAGCCGCGGUAAUUC